UCGACGGAGAGUUUGAUCCUGGCUCAGGACGAACGCUGGCGGCGGGCCUAACACAUGCAAGUCGAACGAGAUGCCUUCGGGCAUCUAGUGGCGAACGGGUGAGUAACACGUGAGGAACCUGCCCCGAAGACGGGGACAACCACGGGAAACUGUGGCUAAUACCCGAUAUCCCCGUUGCGGCGCAUGCCGCGACGAGGAAAUGCUCCGGUGCUUCGGGAGGGUCUCGCGGCCUAUCAGCUAGUUGGUGAGGUAACGGCUCACCAAGGCUUCGACGGGUAGCUGGUCUGAGAGGACGAUCAGCCACACUGGGACUGAGACACGGCCCAGACUCCUGCGGGAGGCAGCA
rnacentral:rRNA from 1 species